rnacentral:tRNA from 1 species
GUGCCCUUAGCUCAGUUGGAUAGAGCGUCUGACUACGAAUCAGAAGGUCGGGGGUUCGAAUCCCUCAGGGCACACCA